GUGCUCUCUUCGGCAGCACAUAUACUAAAACUGGAAUGAUACAGAAAAGAUUAGCAUGGCCCCUAUGCAAGAAGCAAAUCUCUGACGCAUUCCAUAUCUUU
rnacentral:snRNA from 1 species